rnacentral:rRNA from 1 species
UACAGAGGUCUCAAGCGUUUGUUCGGAUUCAUUGGGCGUAAAGGGUGUGUAGGUGGCGCCGUAAGUCGGGUGUGAAAUUUCGGAGCUUAACUCCGAAACUGCAUUCGAUACUGCGGUGCUUGAGGACUGGAGAGGAGACUGGAAUUCAUGGUGUAGCAGUGAAAUGCGUAGAGAUCAUGAGGAAGACCAGUGGCGAAGGCGGGUCUCUGGACAGUUCCUGACACUGAGACACGAAGGCCAGGGGAGCAAAACGGGG